UGCAGCAAUUAGUAUUAUUGUCUGUUAUACUCAAUAUCUCUAAUAUUCGUCUUAAUUAAAUUUUAUUGAGCUCGUAGAUGCUCUAGUUUCCUUAAAAAGGCUUUAUGAGUUAGGCUACUAGUGAAAUAAUCUAGACUAUGGCGACGUUUCCUUACACUAUACCGCGGAUAGCUUUCCCUAGCGGGCCGAAAAGGCACCUAUCCGAUACAAAAUGUACAACUUUCAGAAGCUGAG